GAUGAAGAACGUAGCGAAAUGCGAUAACUAAUGUGAAUUGCAGAAUUCAGUGAAUCAUCGAGUCUUUGAACGCACAUUGCGCCCCCUGGUAUUCCGGGGGGCAUGCCUGUCCGAGCGUCAUUGCUGCCCUCAAGCACGGCUUGUGUGUUGGGCUCCGUCCCCCCGGGGACGGGCCCGAAAGGCAGCGGCGGCACCGAGUCCGGUCCUCGAGCGUAUGGGGCUUUGUCACCCGCUCUGCAGGCCCGGCCGGCGCCAGCCGACAACCCAUCAUCCUUUUCAGGUUGACCUCGGAUCAGGUAGGGAUACCCGCUGAACUUAAGCAUAUCAAUAAGCGGAGGA
rnacentral:misc_RNA from 1 species